UUGGCGAACGGGUGAGUAACGCGUGAGUAACCUGCCCUGGAGUGGGGGACAACAGUUGGAAACGACUGCUAAUACCGCAUAAGCCCACGGCCCGGCAUCGGGCUGCGGGAAAAGGAUUUAUUCGCUUCAGGAUGGACUCGCGUCCAAUUAGCUGGUUGGUGAGGUAACGGCCCACCAAGGCGACGAUCAGUAGCCGGACUGAGAGGUUGACCGGCCACAUUGGGACUGAGAUACGGCCCAG
rnacentral:rRNA from 1 species